rnacentral:rRNA from 1 species
UCUCUCGGUGGCCGCCGCGACGCGCGGUAAUUCCAGCUCCAAUAGCGUAUAUUAAAGUUGUUGCAGUUAAAAAGCUCGUAGUUGAACCUUGGGUCUGGCUGGCCGGUCCGCCUCACCGCGAGUACUGGUCCGGCUGGACCUUUCCUUCUGGGGAACCUCAUGGCCUUCACUGGCUGUGGGGGGAACCAGGACUUUUACUGUGAAAAAAUUAGAGUGUUCAAAGCAGGCCUUUGCUCGAAUACAUUAGCAUGGAAUAAUAGAAUAGGACGUGCGGUUCUAUUUUGUUGGUUUCUAGGACCGCCGUAAUGAUUAAUAGGGAUAGUCGGGGGCGUCAGUAUUCAGCUGUCAGAGGUGAAAUUCUUGGAUUUGCUGAAGACUAACUACUGCGAAAGCAUUCGCCAAGGAUGUUUUCAUUAAUCAGGGAACGAAAGUUAGGGGAUCGAAGACGAUCAGAUACCGUCGUAGUCUUAACCAUAAACUAUGCCGACUAGGGAUCGGGCGGUGUUUCUAUGAUGACCCGCUCGGCACCUUACGAGAAAUCAAAGUUUUUGGGUUCUGGGGGGAGUAUGGUCGCAAGGCUGAAACUUAAAGAAAUUGACGGAAGGGCACCACAAGGCGUGGAGCCUGCGGCUUAAUUUGACUCAACACGGGGAAACUCACCAGGUCCAGACAAAAUAAGGAUUGACAGAUUGAGAGCUCUUUCUUGAUCUUUUGGAUGGUGGUGCAUGGCCGUUCUUAGUUGGUGGAGUGAUUUGUCUGCUUAAUUGCGAUAACGAACGACACCUCGGCCCUUAAAUAGCCCGGUCCGCAUUUGCGGGCCGCUGGCUUCUUAAGGGGACUAUCGCCUCAAGCCGAUGGAAGUGCGCGAAAUAACACGUCGUGAGGGCCCCCCAAAAAA